rnacentral:misc_RNA from 1 species
AGUUUGAUCAUGGCUCAGAUUGAACGCUGGCGGGAUGCUUUACGCACAUGCAAGUCGAACGGCAGCACGGACUUCGGUCUGGUGGCGAGUGGCGAACAGGUGAGUAAUGUAUCGGAACGUGCCCUGAGUAAGCAGAGAUAUGCGCGAAAGCGUAGCUAAUACCGCAUACGCCCUUCGAGGAAAGCGAGGGGACCUUCGGGCCUCGCACUAUUAAGAGCAGCCGAUAUCGGAUUAGCUAGUUGGUGGGGUAACGGCUCACAAGGCGACGAUCGUAGCUGGUUUGAGAGGACGACCAGCCACACUGGGACUGAGACACGGCCCAGACUCCUACGAGGGAGGCAGCAGUGGGAAUUUUGGACAAUAGAGGGAAACCUGAUCCAGCCAUCCCGCGUGUGCGAUGAAGGCCUUCGGGUUGUAAAGCACUUUUUGGCAGGAAAGAAACGGCACGGGAUAAUACCCCGUGCAACUGACGGUACCAGAAUAAGCACCGGACUAACUACGUGCCAGCAGCCGCGGUAAUAC